rnacentral:rRNA from 1 species
UACGUAGGGCGCAAGCGUUGUCCGGAAUUAUUGGGCGUAAAGAGCUCGUAGGCGGCUUGUCACGUCGGGUGUGAAAGCCCGGGGCUUAACCCCGGGUCUGCAUUCGAUACGGGCAGGCUAGAGUGUGGUAGGGGAGAUCGGAAUUCCUGGUGUAGCGGUGAAAUGCGCAGAUAUCAGGAGGAACACCGGUGGCGAAGGCGGAUCUCUGGACCAUUACUGACGCUGAGGCACGAAAGCGUGGGGAGCAAACAGG